CCAGGGCUAGAGCUGGCACUUGCCAGAGGAAAUAACUCCUGCAUAUAAGAGCUACCUGGGGAUAUUUGAUUGCUGACCUGCUGCCUGCAAGAUUAAUAGGGCUUCAGGAGCACCUAAGACAGGGGAACAAUAAUCCAGGACGGGAGCGCUUGGUUUCUUUUUUUUUGACAGAGGCCACGGGAGAGAACCUGACAGCUGAACAUUGACGAAAGGACAAUUUGAUACCUGGUGGAACGAGCAAGGAUGUAGGGGAUGGUGGAGCCCUUAGGACUAUAGGACAGUGGACGACAACCAACUAGAACUUCACGCCCAGGGCAACACUGAGGCCUCUACCCAGAUGGAGCCCAUGGUGGUGCUGGUGGCCCCUUCCUCCCAACUGUGGGGGCUGCCUGACGGAGACCCAGAGGCCACAGGUAGGAGAGGGGUCUGGAGGUACCCUUGACUGUCCCUCUUGUGCUCAACUUCAGGCCCUGGAGGAGCAGGAUCAGUUUUCCAACAGACAGACCUCCCAGGAGAGAGAUACCGCCAAGGAAUGGAAGAAGGUGGCCACCAGAACCAGGGCUGCUCAGGCUAGCACGGAGCCGGCUCCCCAGCUACAACUGGGGAACAGAUUCAAGGCCUCGGCAGCCUUAGAGGAGAAGGUCGAAGGAGAUGCCCCUGUGGGGGACAGUGCCACUCUACACAUGGAACAUUCCGAGAAAGAACACCAUGAGAAAGAAAUGCUGCGUCCUUGUCAUCUGAGAUUCCAUCCUGAGGAGGGUCCCGUUUGCCAACUCAACCCCAUGAUGGCAAUACCUAUAGAGCAGCUGUGAAUAGAAGCAGCCACUUCUCUCGCAGGUGGACACCUCACAGAGAGUAUAUCAACAUGUUCCUCUUCCCACUAAACCAGAAACAUACUAGAAGGUUUCCCUGAGGAAGGGGUAAAGUGUUUAUUACUCCUGUUAUUCUGUUUGUUCAGAAAAAGCAAUUUGCCACCCCAAAAGAGCACUUUUACAGUUUAUCAACCUCCUUUCCUUCUCAGCAUGUACAGCCAAGCCAAGCCUAAAUCAUCUUAGGAACAGGAACUGUUUCUUCAGAUACCCCAACCAUCAUUGAUAAAGGACACCUGGUUAUUAUUAAAUGUUUUCACCUAUGAAGGGACUGAAUACAUCAGAUUAUUUCAUCACUGCCCCCAAGGAAUAAUGAAGAAAGAGUUUGUCACUGCAAUAGCUGGGAGAUUAAAUUUAGCUUUCUGUCACCAGCUACUAGGAAAACUCUCACCAAACUGAGAAGUACUAAUCAAUGCAGUUCUGUAAAACAUACAAGUUAGCAUUCAGCUGAGUCAAAGAGCAUGCAUUCUGUGAAUUAACCUUUUUAGCUAUGGAAUUAGACUGUACUGUACUAAUAACUUUAUCCUUCUUGGCAAUAAAGAUGAUUAUUUCUGACUAGUGCAAGGACCCAUUCUUCA